AAGUAAAAAGUGAAACAUCACCCACGGUUUCGACCCGUGACUUGGUAGACUACCUGCCUUUACUUU
rnacentral:tRNA from 1 species